rnacentral:rRNA from 1 species
CAGCCGCCGCGGUAAUACGAAGGGUGCAAGCGUUAAUCGGAAUUACUGGGCGUAAAGCGUGCGUAGGUGGUGGUUUAAGUCCGUUGUGAAAGCCCUGGGCUCAACCUGGGAAUUGUAGUGGAUACUGGGUCACUAGAGUGUGGUAGAGGAUAGUGGAAUUUCCGGUGUAGCAGUGAAAUGCGUAGAGAUCGGAAGGAACAUCUGUGGCGAAGGCGACUAUCUGGGCCAACACUGACACUGAGGCACGAAAGCGUGGGGAGCAAACAGGAUUAGAUACCCGUGUAGUCCCUGUCUCUUAUAC